UUAAAAAUGCUCUUCAAUUAUAUGACAUUUUAAAACAUGUAUGUUGGGACUAUGAGCUAUGGAGUAUUUGAAACAUCCUUAUGAUACUUGUUCUGGGGCUAUGCCUGCAAUUUCCAAAUUUGGGAGAUCAUUGAACUUUAUAAAGAGAAAAAAAUAACUGCCUACUAUGUAUAAGGUUUUUCAUUUAUAUCUCUGUUUCUUAUAACAACCAACAAGGUAGGCAUUCUACCCACAAAUUAUGGAUAAAGACAGAUAAGCUUUAAGGGUACUUCUCAAACUUCAUUUUUUCAUUUCUUUGUGUGUCUUCAAGAAGCAAGUAAACUUAUGCUUCAUUCAUUGAGAGAGAUAUGUUUAUCCACUACAGAUAGAGGAAAUGGUGCAAUUCACACACCUGCAGAAACUCCAGGUGUGGUUGAGCAUGUGAUGGAUGAUUGAACCAAAGGUUUCCUUUCAAGGGUAGAAGUUUAAAAUAUGGAGAAGAUCAGUGAAAGAGCAGAGCAUAGACGUAUGCACUUGGAAGAAGGUACUGUAUAUAUACAUAUAUAUGUAUGUUUCAUAUCUUCAUUUGGAAUCUCAAGGUGGGUGCUGAGGAACAUGAUUUUCUUUCUGUAUUGUGUGUUCUUUAUUCUUUAUUCUUCUCCCUUUUCCAAUAAUUGCUGCACAUGCAGGAACUAGCUCAUUUACUGGCUUUGAAUAUAUACAGAUCCAGGAGAUAUGAAAUAAUUUUAGGAGCCACAGAAAAUACUGUAAACUUUUCACUCCUCAGUGUCUUAACACUCAGAUUCUUGUGGAGGAAAACCCUAGAGACUCCUUCAAUUCAAUUCAGUUCAAUUCAAUUAAAAAAGUAUUACCUUUCUCAGAAGACCAUCUGUUAUGCCUCUUUCUGAUUGUUCUUCUCUCUUUUCUUCAGGGUCAACUUGAAAAACCUGGCCCCUGAGUUUCACCUUUCAAAAUCCUUUUCUCAUUAAAAACCCGAACAAUCCACCAGCAACUCAUGAGCUAGCAGCAGAAAAGAUGACAGAGCUGGGGCUGGCAGAGCGAGGAAUGAAAGAGAGAGAACAGAUCAGUGUUCAGUUUGAAAGAGCCAUAAUUCAGCAGUCUUUCUACAUUACCUCUCAGAAGAAGGAGCCUGCAUGUCUAAAGAGAGAAGUGAAGUUUAAGUACUGGAAAAAAGGAAAGUCUUCAGCCUUGGGAAUGUAAUAACCUGGGGUCAGCUGAGAACCCUGAGGAGGACUGACCCAAUCAGCUGCUGGGAGAAGCAACAUAACUGUUCUGCUGGAGGGAGAAACAAAUUCUAAUCAGAUGUGAACCAACUAUCCAGGGAGCUUCUGUUGUCAUGAGAAAAGGAAGUGCUCUUCCUUUCAACUGGAAAACUAGAAUGUAC
rnacentral:lncRNA from 1 species